AUGCUCACUUAGGCAGUACAUAUACUAAAAUUGGAAGGAUACAGACAAGAUUAGCUUGGCCUUUGCUCAAGGAUGACAUGCAAAUUCAUGAAAAAAGAAGAGAGAGAUUAAU